CCUACGGGAGGCUGCAGUGGGGAAUAUUGGACAAUGGGGGCAACCCUGAUCCAGCCAUGCCGCGUGUGUGAAGAAGGCCCUCGGGUUGUAAAGCACUUUCAGUGAGGAAGAACGCCUGGUGGUUAAUACCCAUCAGGAAAGACAUCACUCACAGAAGAAGCACCGGCUAACCCCGUGCCAGCAGCCGCGGUAAUAUGGAGGGUGCGAGCGUUAAUCGGAAUUACUGGGCGUAAAGCGCGCGUAGGUGGCUUGAUAAGCCGGUUGUGAAAGCCCCGGGCUCAACCUGGGAACGGCAUCCGGAACUGUCAAGCUAGAGUGCAGGAGAGGAAGGUAGAAUUCCCGGUAUAGCGGUGAAAUGCGUAGAGAUCGGGAGGAAUACCAGUGGCGAAGGCGGCCUUCUGGACUGACACUGACACUGAGGUGCGAAAGCGUGGGUAGCAAACAGGAUUAGAUACCCUGGUAGUC
rnacentral:rRNA from 1 species